UACAGAGGGUGCAAGCGUUGUUCGGAAUUAUUGGGCGUAAAGGGCGCGCAGGCGGCUCGGCACGUCCGUUGUGAAAUCGCCCGGCUCAACUGGGCGGGGUCAGCGGAUACGGUCGAGCUUGAGCAAGCUAGGGGGUAAUGGAAUUCCCGGUGUAGUGGUGGAAUGCGUAGAUAUCGGGAGGAACACCAGUGGCGAAGGCGGUUACCUGGAGCUUUGCUGACGCUGAGGCGCGAAAGCGUGGGGAGCGAGCCGG
rnacentral:rRNA from 1 species